UACGUAGGGGGCAAGCGUUGUCCGGAUUUAUUGGGCGUAAAGAGCGUGUAGGCGGCCAGGUAGGUCCGUUGUGAAAACUGGAGGCUUAACCUCCAGCUGUCGAUGGAAACCAUCUGGCUAGAGUCCGGAAGAGGAGAGUGGAAUUCCUGGGUGUAGCGGUGAAAUGCGUAGAUAUCUGGAGGAACACCGGUGGCGAAGGCGGCAUCCUGGACCAA
rnacentral:rRNA from 1 species